rnacentral:tRNA from 1 species
CGGGGCGUGGCGCAGUCUGGUAGCGCACCUGCUUUGGGAGCAGGGGGUCGCCGGUUCGAAUCCGGCCGCCCCGACCA